AGCUACUGCCCUAAUACAGCAGCUAACAGAUUGGUUCAUUUCUGUUUUGUUGCCAAGAAAAUUGAAUAAACGUGUCUGUAUAAUCCGGAGUUGCUUGAAUCUCAAUUACAAGCAAAUUUGCCUUUUUAUACUAUCACCCAGCGAUCACAAUGGUGAUAUCAGGCCUGCCUUCAUCACAGAGAUCAUCACUAUCAUGGGUGGAGUCAAUUCAUUGAAAUUAAUACAUCUCAAAGCAGCUGUACUUUUUUUCAGGCUUAGUUCAGAAGCCUGUGGAGAAAAAAGGGGUUGCUUUAAUGAACAGCAGAGAGGUGCUGUGCUCCUAUGAGGAAUGAAGCCUCAUGUUUGAAGUGUGCAGUUCUAAUUUGCAGAAGGAUUCUAUGUGGCAGAAGGAAUUCACUGAAUUCUUUGUGUGGUGCCUAUUCCAGUCUUAACAGGAUCAACUGUGUUCAUCAAGACUGCAGUGUGAUAUUACCCAGCCACUUAUAUACACAAGAAGCCAGGAGUAAAACCAUAUUCUGGCCCUGAACAGUUGCUGUAGGAGAUUCUGAAGGAUGAGGAAAGUUUUGAAUACAACCUUUCUGGAUAUCUCAAAGACUGGCUAUUGUGACAAUCUGCCUUGCUAUUAUGAUUAACAAACAUGCAUUUAUUGUUUGAGUUAUAAAGCUAAAAGUCAAGAUUACCAGUUAUUAAUUUCAUUUAUUGUAGGUAAAUUCAAUAAUGUCCACAAGAUUAGAAGGCUUCACCAGAAUGAUGAACUGUGUGUCACAAUGUCAUGAUGCAAGCUCUGACUAUUUUGUAGUCACAACCACAAUCUACUUGAAAAAGGGGUGGAGCUUACAUCUCAACACAUAUUUCAUCAUUUGGGCCAACUCUUGAUAGCAAGGAAGGAUUACAUAGGACAAAAAUGCUUUCAGUAGUCAGGUCCUUCAUCUGCUUAUGAAGCAUUUGAAUCUGACAUGUGAUAGUGCUUACUUUUCCUGACCAUAGACCACACCUCCGAGUUUUCAGUUUCCUGCUUUUGUGGUUUCAGCCAAGAUUAAUAAAAAUAUUAAUCCUGAUCUAAA